GAUGAACGCUGGCGGCGUGCCUAAUACAUGCAAGUCGAGCGAAUGGAUUAAGAGCUUGCUCUUAUGAAGUUAGCAGCGGACGGGUGAGUAACACGUGGGUAACCUGCCCAUAAGACCGGGAUAACUCCGGGAAACCGGGGCUAAUACCGGAUAACAUUUUGAACCGCAUGGUUCGAAAUUGAAAGGCGGCUUCGGCUGUCACCUAUGGAUGGACCCGCGUCGCAUUAGCUAGUUGGUGAGGUAACGGCUCACCAAGGCAACGAUGCGUAGCCGACCUGAGAGGGUGAUCGGCCACACUGGGACUGAGACACGGCCCAGACUCCUACGGGAGGCAGCAGUAGGGAAUCUUCCGCAAUGGACGAAAGUCUGACGGAGCAACGCCGCGUGAGUGAUGAAGGCUUUCGGGACGUAAAACUCUGUUGUUAGGGAAGAACAAGUGCUAGUUGAAUAAGCUGGCACCUUGACGGUACCUAACCAGAAAGCCACGGCUAACUACGUGCCAGCCGCCGCUGUAA
rnacentral:rRNA from 1 species